CCCCCACCCAUAUGUGUAGGACCCUAAAAGAUCGCCAUUAAAGUUGGUACGGAUCUCUAGAAAAGUUAUCACAUCAGUGUGGGACUUGACUUUUCUAUAGAUCCGUACCAAAUUUAAUGGUGAUCCUUUGGAGUCCUACACACAUAGGUGGGGG
rfam:Amborella trichopoda AMTR_V1.0_contig_18107, whole genome shotgun sequence.